AGGAGCCAAUCCAAUCACCUCAAGUAGUCGGCGAGGUGUUAACUGUGUAAGAGAAUUGUUUUGGUCAAGGAGUAUACACAAGCCUAAUAAAUAGAAGCGAUCCAAAACGAAAAAGGCAAGGAGGCAGCACACCACGAAAGCAGGCUCAUUCGACACAUUGCAAAAACCCCCUCUUGAAAGCAGGAAACAAGGCCCCUAAUUCACUGCACAAAAGUAAACUUUACUAUGAAAGCAGAUAUAUCAAUGGGGAAGCCAGUCCCAUACAGGCAAAAGAACAGCAGCAGAAUCUACGUCCCAAGAUGCGAGGCUCUCAAGGAGCAAAGGGCGAGGCUCUACAUUAUACGCCGCUGCCUCUACAUGCUAAUCUGUUGGAGGGAAAACGAUGACUAGGCAAGCAUAUCCAAGCAAGUGGCUAUUAAGGUUAUUAGAUUCAUAUAAGUUUUAUAGGUAAACAUCUAUAGAUUAUGAUUAAUCCUAUUGUUUUAGUUUGGCAUUUAGCAAAGCAUGUAAACUUAUGUGAAGCUACAAGUAGUAGGGCAUCAAUUGAGUACCAUUGUGUCUGUAAAUAUCCCUAGAAUGUAUAAUUGUGAUAGUGAUUAAUAAAUCUCAAUCAGUUUAUUCUCCUAAA